CCAUCCGAAAUUUGUGAUUGA
rnacentral:miRNA from 1 species